rnacentral:lncRNA from 1 species
GACGCUGGGGUAUUCACAUGAAAGGGAAUGUAGACACCUAAUUUUAUCCCUCCCAAGUUCCAUUUUAUUCAUUUUUAGCUCAUCUUACCACACAUUCUCAUCCAUGUGAUUAUACACCACAAAAAUACAAAAAAAUAACAUCCUUUAAUAUAAUCCCUAAAGAAUUCUAUCUUAUUUUAAUCCUAUCCUAACCAACUUUACACCUCAUCCUAGCAACCUACCCCACCUCACUACCCACGUGACCCUCCCCAUAUUUUUUUUUCUAGAAAAAAGGAUAUACA